rnacentral:misc_RNA from 1 species
AGGAUUUGCACCUGCAAACAGUCUCAUAAGAUCAAAGAAAUGGCAGCAUUUCUCCACCAGAGUCCCUCCAGUAUUACAAUUGAACCGGUUCCAGUUGUUGACCUUAACCAAGAAAGGAAACCGAUGUUCACGAAUUGCUACCAUUCUAACUUGUCCCAGAUUCCCACCCUUGACUAUGUCAAUCAGUUUAGCAACUGGUGGCAUGUAUCUGUAUUCCAGUCCAACUUGAACCAGAAUGCUCUGCCUCUUUCUUGCAGCAAUU